GGAUCUGUGGGUGCAGCUCCUCAACACUGCCCUCAAGUUUGGGAUAACGGAGCAGUCAUCAGGCCGCCAGUGAAAGGAGGCUGCUAUGCUUUCCAGCCACAGGCUGUUGCACUAAGAAAUGCCAUCUCCACCCAUGUGUGAAUAAUACACCUGCAACAGCGCUCACCACAAGUCCUUCCUGUUAGCUACAGCGCGCAUCCUGAGCAGGAGACAGGCAACGCCUCAGCAGUCCUCUACUAUGACUAGACAAGCCAACAGAGGGGUCUACCAGAUGGAUGUCAAGAUUAUGUGUCUCCAGGAUCAGGGGCAUUGGCCAAGGAUGUUUGUCAACCAGUCACUUAUUUAGUCAGUGUGAAGUUUGCCGGAGAAUUGUGUCUACCUCUUCAUUCUGACUUAGAAACACAACAGCUGCACCAGGAUGAAGAGAUGACGUCACCUAAGAAGCUGUUAAUAUUUCAGGUGACAGCUGGAAUCUGGAUGCUUUGAGAAGUCUCAGCUGUUAAUUUCAUUCAGUUCCUUAUCAGUUAGGCACACCCAUUUGUGCAUGUACACAAUAGUCCAAUACUGACAAUAUAGAUAUUAUAAAAUUAAUUGCUUGCUUUUGUUUUAUGUUUUGCUUCCUUUAGUUUAGGAAAUAACCACAAAUAAAUUAUUUU